rnacentral:lncRNA from 1 species
GUUUUAGAGAGAGAGAGAAGAGAGAUACGGUGGAAGGACCAUCUUUUCUGGUGGUGAACCCGGCUGCGCACGAUAGCGCCUCUCACUUCCGACGCAUAAACGACUGCCAUGGUGGUGGUGAGUUGUGGAGCUGUACUUCGGAAACAAACCCGGGCCGGUCAAUGAACCCGGUUCAAGGCGUUUGUGGUGGUGGAUGAUGGUAACAGGCACGUGGGUUUGGGGGUGAAGUGUUCGAAGGAGGUUGCGAUUGCUAUUAGGGGUGCGAUUAUUCUAGCGUGUAUUCCGGUAAACUAUGACGAGUCUCCGGCGAAGAUCCGUGUAAAGAAUUUUGACAGUUGAUAUCUAUUGAAACCAACAGUUCAAAGAGGCAAGGUAUGAAGAUUUGACUCAAGUUAUUGGUUUUUGAGCUGAGUGGGGGUUGCUACAAUUUAGUAAGGUUAUCUUAGAUCAUGUGCAAACAAAAUGUAAACAAAUAGUUAUACAAGGGUACACUGAUCCACAUGUCAUAUCCGACCCAAUUGAAGCAAUAAGUCAUGCUACAAAGCUUUUGCGGCUUCAGCUGAACAACCGGGAACACAUACAACCGUGGUUAACACAAUUAGUUGUAAACCAAAUCUUCGAUGCGACCAUCUCUCGCAUGACACAUCCAUACCUACUGCUGCUCUUUUCCAACUAGAUCAUUGUGCUUAUUAAGCAGAUCUUUUUAACCGUUUCUCCAUUUUCAUGCAGCAAAUCAAAACACGUGACAAGGCCCACUUCUUUUUAUCUUCAAGACUUCAAUUAUGUACAGUAUAGGAAUCAAGUCGAGACGGGCUCAAGCACGAGGUGUUAACGGGCCAAGAGGAAGCAAGGGAUCGGAUAUGAACACGGAUGCAUGAGGAACGAGUACAUCGGAUUCUUACGAAAUUUAAGCCCAACCCGGAAUAAGAGGAUGAGUGAUACACGGACUUCUUCUGCUACUUAGGAAGUGAAGCGGACGUAGAUCGAGUCAAGAGCAAGGAUUGCACGGAUAGAUCGAUCAUAUAGUUGAAAUAUAUAACGUCUAGAAAUGUAAAUUUUAGUAUGAAUGUUGUGAAUUAUUUUAUAGAACGUUUAACAUUUUAGCUUUUGGAACCUUCUCGAAAGUAAUGUCGUUAAUAAGGAAAGAAAUUUUAA